rnacentral:rRNA from 1 species
UGCUCAGGAUGAACGACUAGCUACAGGCUUAACACAUGCAAGUCGAGGGGCAUCAUGGUCUUAGCUUGCUAAGACUGAUGGCGACCGGCGCACGGGUGAGUAACGCGUAUCCAACCUGGCCCUUAGUAGGGGAGUAGACCCGGCGAAAGUCGGAUUAAUACCCUAUGUUGUCCCUUGAGAGCAUUUGAUUGGGACUAAAGAUUUAUCGCUAUGGGAUGGGGAUGCGUCCGAUUAGGCAGCAGGCGGGGUAACGGCCCACCUGGCCGACGAUCGGUAGGGGUUCUGAGAGGAAGGUCCCCCACAUUGGAACUGAGACACGGUCCAAACUCCUACGGGAGGCAGCAGUGAGGAAUAUUGGUCAAUGGGCGCGAGCCUGAACCAGCCAAGUAGCGUGCGGAUGACGGCCCUAUGGGUUGUAAACCGCUUUUGUACGGGGAUAAAGUGCGGCACGCGUGCCGUUUUGCAUGUACCGUAAGAAUAAGGACCGGCUAAUUCCGUGCCAGCCGCCGC